AUCGACAAAUAAACAUUAUAGAAGAACUUAAGGAAAAGGUUGCACACACGCGACUUUAUUGCUCUAAGUUAAAUUCAGCAACGUACAGCGCCGGUGACGUGUGGCGUGCCGUGCAUUUAUGUGGGCCCACUGUGUUUUAAGUUGCGCGUACAAGAGAAGGAAACUAAGUCCGAACAAAAUAACGGAAGGAAACUAAGUUCGAACGGGGAAAUCAAGUCAGCUUAGUCAAGUAAAUAACACACAGAAGCAAGAAGAAGUAAUGGUAAAUUUUUAUUUAGAGUAAACUAAUACAUUGGCGAAGUGACCAGUAGGACGUUGGCCAAGCGACUCAUCGCGUUGGCCAAGCGACCAAAGACGUUGGCGAACGUGACGUUGGCGAAAUCACUCGUUGGCGAAAUCACCAGAUACCUGUACAGCAAUUGAACGCAGCAACCGUCAAGUCUGAUCGAAUUGGGAGCUCUAUAAAGGUUUUGGUGUGAGUGUAGGCCGCUUUGAUUGAUUUGUGCGCUAUAUGCUUCAGAACUCAGUAUUUACGGAGCAUGCGUCUGUAAAACACAAAGUUCAAGUGAUGAAGUGUUUAUGAACGCGUUAUGCAGAUAUCCAUCUUGUCUAAGUGGGCUCGAAGCAGACUGUUUGCAAACUUCACAUACAAAGAUACGGGAGAAAAGUUAUCGUAUUUGCUAAUAUGCCACUUCGGUUCAUCGAUUGUGACAGGAGCCUAUCAUCAUUUCAUCUGAUCAGUUUGGAUCGCCGACGGAAUUUCCUUUUUUAGAUCAACAAAGAGCUACUCAUAGGAGCUAGACUGGCUGGAAUCCUGGCAGCAUCAUUGACAAAUGGCGUUUAAUCCUUUCAAAUGCAAAAUUUCUACCAUCUCAGAUAAGGACAAUCCACCCCAGAGAAAAUACGUCAUCUGUGGUGUAGAGUUGGUAGCUUCCCAUACCUAGGGGUUACCAUCAGUAACAAGCUCAAGUGGUGAGCCCAUGUUUCCAUGACAGCAACUAAAGCAAACACAUCGCCGUGUACAAUACAACGCAACCUUUGAAAUUGUCCAAAGAAUGUAAAGGAAAUUGCAUAUCCAUCCCUGGUGCGACCGAAGCUGGAAUAAACAAGUGUGGCUUGGGACCUGUUUUCGACGUUUUUAAAGAAAGACAUCAGUGCUCUGGAAAGCGUUCGACGUAAAGCAGCUCAGUUCUGCCCACAGAAUUGUAAUAGACAUGCGAGUGUUACGGACAUGAUCAAAGACUUAGGGUGGGCCACGCUGGAAACGAGAAGAAGGCAGUCUAGGUUAACACUUAUGUACAAACUAACUCAUGGUCUUAUUGAUAUAGAUGGCUGAGAAUAUUUAAUUCAACACUUUGAGAGCCGCACGAGGGGAAGCCAUCGAUUUAAAUUUCGCGUGCCGUAUGCAAAUAAACACGUUUUUAAAUUCUCGUUUUUUCCAAAAACUA